rnacentral:tRNA from 1 species
GGGGCUAUAGCUCAGUGGGUAGAGCGAAUGGUUCGCAAUCAUUAGGUCAGGGGUUCGAAUCCCCUUAGCUCCACCA